UGCCAGCAGCCGCGGUAAUACGGAGGGUGCAAACGUUGCUCGGAAUCAUUGGGCGUAAAGCGCACGUAGGCGGCCCAAUAAGUCGGAUGUGAAAGCCCUUGGCUUAACCAGGGACGUGCAUUCGAAACUGUUGGGCUUGAGUACAGGAGAGGGUCGCGGAAUUCUCGGUGUAGAGGUGAAAUUCGUAGAUAUCGGGAGGAACAUCAGUGGCGAAGGCGGCGACCUGGACUGAUACUGACGCUGAGGUGCGAAAGCGUGGGGAGCAAACAGGAUUAGAUA
rnacentral:rRNA from 1 species